UGCAGGUCGAACGGCAGCACGGGGGCAACCCUGGKGGCGAGUGGCGAACGGGUGAGUAAUAUAUCGGAACGUGCCCUAGAGUGGGGGAUAACGUAGCGAAAGUUACGCUAAUACCGCAUACGAUCUAAGGAUGAAAGCAGGGGAUCGCAAGACCUUGCGCUCGUGGAGCGGCCGAUAUCUGAUUAGCUAGUUGGUAGGGUAAAAGCCUACCAAGGCGACGAUCAGUAGCUGGUCUGAGAGGACGACCAGCCACACUGGGACUGAGACACGGCCCAGACUCCUACGGGAGGCAGCAGUGGGGAAUUUUGGACAAUGGGGGCAACCCUGAUCCAGCAAUGCCGCGUGUGUGAAGAAGGCCUUCGAGUUGUAAAGCACUUUUGUCAGGAACGAAACGGAUUGGGUUAAUACCCUGGUCUAAUGACGGUACCUGAAGAAUAAGCACCGGCUAACUACGUGCCAGCAGCCGCGGUAAUACGUAGGGUGCAAGCGUUAAUCGGAAUUACUGGGCGUAAAGCGUGCGCAGGCGGUUAUGUAAGACAGAUGUGAAAUGCCCGGGCUUAACCUGGGAACUG
rnacentral:rRNA from 1 species